rnacentral:rRNA from 1 species
UAAGGAAUAUUGGACAAUGGUCGGAAGACUGAUCCAGCCAUCCCGCGUGAAGGAUGACUGCCCUAUGGGUUGUAAACUUCUUUUAGAUAGGACGAAACGCCUUUAUUUAUGAGGGCCUGACGGUACUAUCAGAAUAAGCACCGGCUAAUUCCGUGCCAGCAGCCGCGGUAAUACGGAAGGUGCAAGCGUUAUCCGGAAUCACUGGGUUUAAAGGGUGCGUAGGUGGUUUAAUAAGUCAGAGGUGAAAGCCCGGCGCUUAACGUCGGAAUUGCCUUUGAUACUGUUAGACUUGAAUUAGGUUGAGGUAGGCGGAAUGUGACAUGUAGCGGUGAAAUGCAUAGAUAUGUCAUAGAACACCAAUUGCGAAGGCAGCUUACUAGACCUUAAUUGACACUGAGGCACGAAAGCGUGGGGAGCGAACAGGAUUAGAUACCCCCGUAGUCC